rnacentral:rRNA from 1 species
AAAAACAUGUCUUUUAGAUUAUAAUUUAAAGUCUAACCUGCCCACUGAUUUAAUUAUUUAAAGGCCGCAGUAUUUUGACUGUGCAAAGGUAGCAUAAUCAUUUGUCUUUUAAUUGAAGGCUGGAAUGAAUGGUUGAAUGAAGUAUUAACUGUCUCAUUUUUAUAAAUUAAGAAUUUAGCUUUUUAAUCAAAAGGUUUAAAUGAAAUUAAAAGACGAGAAGACCCUAUAGAUUUUUAUAUUAUAUUAUUAUAAUUUUAUUAAGUAAUAAAUUUUAGAAUUAUAUAAUUUAAUAUUUGAUUGGGGUGAUUAAAAAAUUUAAUAAACUUUUUUUUUAUUUAAACAUUAAUAUAUGAAUUAUUGAUCCAAUAAUAUUGAUUAAAAGAUUAAAUUACCUUAGGGAUAACAGCGUAAUUUUUUUAGAGAGUUCUUAUCGAUAAAAAAGAUUGCGACCUCGAUGUUGAAUUAAAGGUUAUUUUUAAAUGCAGAAGUUUAAAGUUUAGGUCUGUUCGACCUUUGAAUCUUUACAUGAUCUGA